rnacentral:rRNA from 1 species
UACGUAGGGGGCAAGCGUUGUCCGGAAUCAUUGGGCGUAAAGCGCGUGUAGGCGGCUCGAUAAGUCUGCUGUGAAAGUCCAGGGCUCAACCCUGGGAUGCCGGUGGAUACUGUCGAGCUUGAGUCCGGAAGAGGCGAGUGGAAUUCCUGGUGUAGCGGUGAAAUGCGCAGAUAUCAGGAGGAACACCUAUGGCGAAGGCAGCUCGCUGGGACGUGACUGACGCUGAGACGCGAAAGCGUGGGGAGCAAACGGG